AUGAUACAAUUUUGAAUCAUUUGACAUUUAAGUGAUGCUAGUGAUGCUGCACAGGGGUGUAGGCUACUAACUUCUGUUGUAUAAUCUACGGUAGGGUGUGUCGUGUUAGCUGGUCAUUCUAUAUCUGACUCCACCUUUGUGGUUUCUCUUUAUCGUUCGAUUUUGCCCAAAUUCACAUUCUUCUGUGCUUCUGCGCAUUAGCUUCGCCCGCGAAACAUCUUGAAUGGACUGCAUAACGUAACUUUCGUGCAAUAUCCCUGACAAGGCAUGUAGGUUCCAUCAGGGUAGGCUAAGAAAACAUGUGUGACUAUGAGAGAGAAUGCGCUAUAGGCUGUCUUGGCUCGGGGGUUGAUGACGAACGGCAAAGGCUCAAGGUAUGCGUUCACUCCCUUGCUCACCCUCAGCUCGCUUGGCUGCUGGAGUUUCGGGCGGUUUACUCGUUGUAACUGUUCAGUGGGCUACUCGUAAUCUAUAAUGGGGGAUCUAUAAUGCUUUAUAACCGGACUGCAAGCGACAUGAAUACACCCCGGUGCCAGAGGACCUUUUCAAUUCAUUGACUUGAAGACGAAUGGAGACAAUUAAUUCGUAGGCUAUAACAGCAGAGUAGCCUACAAGGUUGUCUCACAUCAAGAUGCUUUUGAUCGAAAUUGUACUCCUGUCGUUAUUUACAAUAAAUACAGCACAGUCUCCAGAUCACCCACCAAUCAUCAACAGCGAUAUAUUUCCAGCAAUGCCUCAUCUCCUGGGACAGUCAUAUCUCAGUCUGGUCUUGCUGGCGCUGACAGUGGGGUUGUCCGGAGGAGUGUACCUCUGUGUGCUACGCUACAUCUGCGUUGGUUGUUGCCAGCCUGUCCUGGUUGGACCUGAGGAUCAAAACAUCUCUGGGGUCGUCUAAUACGACUCCGUGUCUGUCUCCGAAUGCCCCACAGUGUCUUGAGAAUACACUGAAGCAGCUGCACAGCAAAGGAUCACACCUCUAUCGACAUUGUAACAGUUGCCAAUAUGGAGGCAGAGUCAGACCUGACCGCACGUUUAGGAUUUUUUCCCCCCUCUUUGGGAAUAUGUGAAAGGAUUUGGGAUGCAUCAUAUUCCCCAGCGGAAACACUUCACGAAGUGGCACAUCAGACAUACUAUUGCAUUUGUAGCAAAAUGACAGUUUGUAAGCAUUUGCUUCUUGUAAUUGAAAGGCAGUUGUUAUUGUGGUCCUCAGUCAAGUUAGAACAAAAUGUGGUGUGUAACUGAGACAGUUUUGUCACUGUGGGGUACAAUUAAUUGUAAGUAUAGGGUUUGUCUCAAGAGGUGUGGCUAUUUAGAAUGCAAAAGGGCAGAUUAUUUAUAAUUGCAUCACAUUUGCAUAUUGCUUACCUCUGUGAGUAGGUCAUUGCCCCUGGCACAAUGAACCUGAUUGACAGGUAACACUUUUCUUAGAAUUACUUUUUUUCACUGGGAAAGAGGUAAUGGACUGGUUGUUGCCAUGGGCUACUGAUGGCUCCUGUUGCCAUGGAAAUAAAUCCUCAUGUUGGCCACUAGAUGGGGCUCAGCUCAAAGUAGUGCGGCACAGCCAUCCUGAACCAAAUGGAGGGACACAGUCACAGCCCAGGUGGUAGCUGAGACUGAAGCGGCUCCAUCCUCAUCUUUUGGAUCAGGAUCAGAUUUACCCAUCAGUCAGCCUGGAGAGGUAUCUGUGCCUACUGAUUAGAUGUAUGCUGUUGUAAUGGCUGCUUAUAAAAAGGAGUAUAGAUAUUUUUUGUGUGUCUUCAUCGCAGACCAUUAAAGUAUUUCGACAGAACCUGCUGGGCAUUAUAUGUUUGACAUAUUUUUGGUCUUUUUGAGAGAAAGGUGAAGUGACUCAUUAAUGAUAUGCCUCAGAGUCAUUUAAUUUACCCUCAAAAAGCAACCAGUGUAAAGUACAGCAUGUUGGCACCCCCACUACUUCACUGGAUUUUAUAAGAAGACAUUAUAAGAAGUUCACAGUUUCUCUCAUUACAAUCCCUGUAAGUGAGGUUUGGUGUAGCGUGAGUGCUCAUACUGUCACAUUUAAGUAGCCUUUAUAAAUUAUAAAAUGUGAUCAGUGUUCACUGUAGUACAUUAGACAUUUGCUUACUGUGGUGAGUUGAGGGGCUGAGGUUGUCUGUAGGAGGAGAUCAUCCUUAAUAUGAUAAAACAGUAUUCAGUAUUAAUUUGACUGCAAAAGCAAUAUCCCACAUAUCUUUCAAUAUGCUGUUGAUUGUUCAUUUGUAACAUGUUUGUAAACAUAUUUGCACAUGCUCAUUAAACAUUGUUGGACAUUAAAUAAAAGUGCAAAAUGGCUUAAAAUGCUUGUCCCCUGGCUGUGUUUAGUUAGGGAAGAACUGACUUAAAGAGACAGUAUGCA
ensembl:lncRNA